GUGAGGUCUAGAGAAAGAAAGGAGAUGAUACUGUUUUUAGCCUGAGCACUUGGAAGGAUACAGUCACUAUUUUGUUUGUUUCUUUUUUGGGGCUUAAAAAAUUUUUAAAUUAAUUUUCUGGAUAUUUUCUUGGAUGCAGUCACUGUUUACCGAGGCGGGGAAGACAGCAGGAGGAAGUCCCUGGAGGAGAGAGAGGAGAUACCAGAAACUCAGUAUCCGAAGUGCAGGGCUCGAUGUGCCAAUCAGACAGCGACCUGGAGAUGUCAACUGGGCAGCUGGCCAGGCCAGCCUGCAGUUCAGGCAAAACAUCUCGGCUAAGGCAUAACGUUGGGACUCAUCGGAAACACGGGGAUGUAAAGCCACGAGACCAGAUGAGGCCACCAAAACAUAAAAUAGGCAAUACAUUCAUCACUGAGAGAGGGAAGAAAGAUGUUAAAGGAGAAGGUGGAAAAGAGUCACCUGGAAGACUCAGAGUGAACAGGCCAGGAAGACCUGGUAUGACUGUCAGGCGGUACUCAAGUCCCCCUGGGGUCAGUGAUCAUGAAUCCACAGUCUACAAUUCCAACGCCACUGCCAGCGUCGUCCUAUUCCUUACACUGUCCCAGAGCCUGACCGACACCUUGGAAGAUGUGAAGGAGCUCGAAAGGAACGGAGGCUGGGUUCACGGACCAGCGCAGGCUGUUAACUCUCCUGGUCCGUUUCUCCACCUGGUGGAAGCCGCCAGACGCCCGAAGGAAUGGAGCAGAAAUCUGGAGAAGUCGCUCUCCAGGAAACAACAGCCUACUUCCUAAAAGCUCCCGCUUCCUAAAAGCAAGAGGUUUGGUAGGUUCUCAGUGACCCGCACAGAACAGACGUGCCAGGGAAAACCCGCCAAAGGAUUUGUGCAGCGUACGCAUGCGCGAGACCGGGUUCAAUUCCCCACCCCUUCCCCUUGCGGCCUGCUCCUAGUUCCCGGGCUCUGCGCGCGCACGUGCGUCCCAGGGCGCGUGCGCACAAACUCCUACGCGCCCGCUCUUGCUCCCGCGCUUUGUGGCGGGGGUGCCCUAGGACUGCUGCGCAGUUUUUCUCUCGCAGGCAGCGGGCUCCGGGCACUCAGGCCCGCGGGCCCCCGCAUGUAAUAUCUCCGUGGCUGCCUCAAAUGAGUAUUUUCCAGGACCUGCCCGCUUGGCGAAGGUCCAUGACGCACACUAGUCACUUAGUCCUGUGCCCUGCUGCGCAGGUGCUGUCGUAUGCAGUCCCUCAGAUGACCCAUUCUGUGUCCUACCCCGGAGAGGAAGGCCUGUCUUCCCUUCUCUGUCCUCCUGUCAUCUCCGCACUCGGUGUGCUCUCCUUCAUCUUAAAGGGCGAAUUCGUCAGGGAAUCUCAUUGCCAUGAUUACCGUCCUAGUUAUCACCUUGGUCCCAGCCGCAGUGGUAGGUCUGUUUUCUGGACCUGUAGCAUUUUUGGUGGAAAAGGAAUGGAAAGGUGACAAAUACCUUAGUUUUGGAAGUUAGGUUUUUUCGCCGUUGGGAUUUCCAGGUAGAAGUACCCAAUGAGCGACUGAAAGCUUGGGAGUGAAGAUGGCUCACUAAGGGGGAGACAGUUGAGAGGUAAAAUGAGAAGAGGGCCUUCCCCCAGAAAUAUCUCCAAAUUCUUUGAGCAGAAAUCUUUGGCUCAACUUAGAUCAAACAACCUUAGGCAUCACACUAAAUAGGAUAAUAGACUUGUAGAGUCUAUCUAAAAAACAGUUUGUCAAUAUAAUCAGGAGCCUUGAAAAUGUUAAUUCUUGACUCAGUAUUUCUUACCCUAAGCAAAGCAGCCAAAGCCCAAAGUUUUAUGUACAAAGCUGUUCGUCGUGGCCAUAUUUACAAUAUGUUUUUAAAAGGAAACUGUCCGAACAUCCAAAAGUAGGAGCUAAUUGAGGACAGUAUGGGGUUUUUACCAAAGCAGGGAUUCUCCAGACUGUGCCAAAGAGGCUAACGUCUCUCAGGGGACAGCUCAGAGUAUGAGACACCAGGCGAGGACCAGACAGAGCCAGAGCACGCUGUCCCGGCCUCAGUGGGGCAGUGUGGAGCUGGUUGGAGUCUGCAUAUCAACCACAGCAGGGAUUUGGGGGGAGGUGUUGUGGAGAGGGAAAAUCCCCUACGCACCCCUCACUCCUCUGCCUGGUGGGGACCAAGGGUGGAGGGUGGGAGUGGUCCACCUAGGUACAGGCAAUAAAGGGUGUAUUAGCUUUCCACUGCUGUGUAAUAACAUCACAAAUUUUAAAUGGGCGUUGGCUUAAAACAACACUCAUUUACUCAUUCACAGUUCUGUAGGUCAGAAGUCUGAGCACAGCAUGUCUGGGUUCUCUCGGCAAGGCUGCAAUCGGUGCUGCCAAACUGCUUUUCUUUCUAGGGGUUUCUGCUCCAGCCAGAGAAACUCUCUUUAAAGCGCUCAUGCUGUGGGUCAGGUCCACUCAGAUAAGUCCUUUUCUUAAGAAUGAUUAAUUCUGUUAUCUGUUUCUAUUUUGUUUGUUAAGUUAUUUUGUUCCUUAGAUUCCACAUUAUAAGUGAGAUCAUAUGGUAUUCGACUAGCUUAUUUCACAUAAUAUAAUAGAAGGCACUGCCUUACCAUGAAAAGGCAUUGACCCAAUAAAGCCCAAUAAAGAAAAACAAAACCCCAAAGGUGAAACAAUGGUUGGAUCUACUUUGAAAUACAUAAUGCCUUCAAUAUGAUAAUAACUGAAGAUAACGUAUAGAAGAGGGGACGUUAAAAACUCAUCUGCUCGAGUGUCAGAUAGUGUGGGUAUGUCACCAACCCUCUUCCCUCUUUCAAUCCUUUUCUGAGUUACUUGCUGCCUGUGAUGUCUGCAGAUGGUGCUGUGCGCUGAGAGACUGGUUCUGAUCUCCCGUACAAGGUCAAUUGUUUGUCAAGACCCGCUCUGGGUGGUGGGAUUAUUUGUCGUGUAUCGUACUCAGAACAGGAGAAGUCCCAUUCCCCAUUCUGUUACAAGUGUUGGGGAUUUCCUCUUCUACAACUUGCACGUUUAUGUCUUCUGAUCUUGGUCUUUUCUUAGAAAACAUCAGGAGCUCUUGGUAGAUCACAGACCAGAUACCAAUUCAACUAUUCCGCUGGCAAGUUAGGAAUAAUUUUAAAUUUUUCACUGCCUAAAAAAAUUAAAAGAAUAUGAAGCCCAAAUUUCUGUAUCCAUAAAGUUUUAUUGGAACAUAGCCACGGCCGUUAAUUUAUAAGUGGUGUGUGGCUGGAUCUGUGUUACGCAGGUUGUGUAGUUGCAACAGAGACGGUGAGGCCCUUGAACCUCAAGUACUUACUAUCUACUAUCUGGUCCUUUAUAGAGAGUGUUUGCCGACCCCGCCCCAGGCAGUACCAUUAUCAGAUGUGUUACACACGUAUUUUCCCGACCUGCCCUUUAGCUUUGCAGUUUCUUCUACUAAAAGUUUAUAUUUUUUAUGUCUAUGUUUCCCUUUAUGGCUUUUUGGUUUCCUGCUCUCUUAAUAAGGUGUCCCCAACCUAAGCCUAUGUAAAUAUUCUUCUGAUUUUUCUUUUAUCAAUUUAAUGGUUUUACAUUUUAAUUUAGAUCUCUCCUCUACCUGGAAUUAAUUUUAUUUGUAACAUGAGGCAGGAUUUAGUUUUGUUUUCUUCCAGACGAAUAGCCAAUAUGUCAGUUACAUUUAGUCAAUAAAACAUUUUCCAAGGGAACUGAACUGUGAUCUUUUCAUACAUUAGGUCCUCAUGAAUAGUUGGAUAUUUUUUCUGGAUUUUUUAAUUAUAUUUUACUAACUUAUUGGUUGCCUCUUCUGUGUCAGUAUAACAAUGGUUUGAUUAUAGCAGUAUAUGAACUAGGUUUUCUAUCUCUGCCACACAGCCAGAUCUCAGAAUCACAGUGGCUGGGACAGAGCAGAAGUUUAUUUCUCUGUCAGAUAAAUUAACUCCAGAACCGUGCAGCCCAAGGCCGAUCGCAUUCAUCGGAGGCCGGGUCCUUCUGUCCUUCUGCCCCACUGUCCUCGCAUUAGCCUUCAGGUCACCUUGGAGUCCAAAGUGGCUUCUGGAAUUUCAGCCAUCACAUUCAUAUUUUGAGUAAGAACAAAGUGGGGUAAAAAAAGGCUUUUCCAAGCCUUUGUCCGUUCCUUCCCAAUGACUUUGAGAUUCGGUAAGUUGCCCCUGACAGGAAUCAGUCUGGGCAAACUGCUUUCCUCCUGUUUAGGGCAGCUUCAUGUUUAGCAAUUAAGCAGAAUCUCUGAGUGCAGUUGUGCAGGCUGUUCGCUGGGCGAGGAAGCUUGUCCGGACAGGUGGGGGUGGGUGCUGAGCUCGAGCCUUUGUCUGCUGGCCAACCUGUGCGGCCUGCCGUGAAGGGGACAUCAAGGGAGCUGUCUGGGUCUUCAUGGAUCAUGUGAACAAUCCAGAUGAACUCUGCUUCUCUCUCUAGCACUCACGGAAGGGCAAGCCAAGAGUCUUCAUCGGUCAGUGGUGAGGCUGAGAGCCACCGUGCAUGUCUGGGUGAAACGGGCCAGCUGUCCUAGAAGAAGAGCUGAAAGAGGUCAGUGGCCCCUGGCUCCACCCUGACCUCCCGGGUCUGGGGGUCUGGGGCGUUGCCUUCCUUCCGCCUCCCUCCCACCCCUGGUCCCCGUGAACAGCCCCUGCAGCAACCACGCCCCCUUCCCCAUGUCUCACCCACGUCGCUUGCCCGGACUUGUGCUGGGGACUCAGCAGUUUCUUCCGUACACACCUUGCGCCAUCCUAAAGCGUCUCCUGUUGCCUGCCUGAGGUGUGUCACCUCUAGUUUGUGAUAACGCUCAUCAAUAUCCAUAAUUACUCAAGUGGAGGGAGCAGAGUGGCUGCCAAAGGAGCAGCAGUUUCUCCUUUACAGGCCAUCUUUCGGCGGCACCUGCUGUCUGGCAGCCCAGGUCUGAUUGGUGUGUUGAUUCACUGAUGUGGCACGUGGGUCAAUGUUGGGGGUUUGUGGGUCUUGUGACAUCUUCCAGGCCACACCACCCAUGGGACAGUGAGAAUGUAGGGGCUGCUUCCACAGCCUGCACCUCCGUCACUAGCGGAGUGCUCCGUUCCGGGCACAGGAGUCGGCAGCAGAGGCCCGGGGCACCACCCGCCUUACCAUUCGCCUUAGCUGAUCUCUCCUGGCCCAGGCGAUCACUGAUACGUGGAGCCCCGGGCCCCUUGGCAGCCAACUCCCUGCAGACACAAGGCCCCCUGAUAAUGAGAGACUUAGAGGAACCUGGAAGACUGUCGUCAAAGGCUGGUCAGUGCCUUAGGAUGUAAAGGUAAAGACGCCUGGACACCACCUGCCAGUUACCCGGGAGACGAGGACAAGGGACACCAGCCCGGUGGAGUCCUGUGUAGAUGCUGCCGUCUGCGUAGCACCACCGGGCACCGGUCCUCAUUAACAGUUCCUGGCCAGUCGUGUUUGCCAGGGACCAGGGUGGUCAAAGGCAUGGUUUCACCCCAGGACUGCGACCUGUGACCUCAAAGUUAUUUACACUUGUUGUGAGAAACUUCAUGUCAGAAUAUUUGAUAUAAAAAAUCAAGUUUGUCCCCAUGCCGCGGUCUGGCCACAGCGGGUCAAGGGGUCCCACAGGUGAGGGUAGGCGUCGGCGCUGGGUAACAGAUGACAACACGCCUCAAAGGACAGUGAAGCUCUGUUCCGUUUAUUGCAAGUACAAGCAGAUUUUUAUAUUUUCAUUUCAGGUAGUGAUUAACAUUUGCAGUAUAACAUGAUCAUUUAAGCAGAAAAAAUCAAUACAAAGGUAAUCAGUAAAAGUAUGAAAGUUCUCAUAGAUUUAGUUAUAAUAAACAAAGAUUAUUUUAACCAGGAGAGCUAUUAAUC